AUGUCACCGCUGCCCGCUUCUCCCCGGGUGUCCUGUCUGUUUCUGUCCUCACGUCACCGCUGCCCGCUUCUCCCCGGGUGUCCUGUCUGUUUCUGUCCUCACGUCACCGCUGCCCGCUUCUCCCCGGGUGUCCUGUCUGUUUCUGUCCUCACGUCACCGCUGCCCGCUUCUCCCCGGGUGUCCUAUCUGUUUCUGUCCUCACGUCACCGCUGCCCGCUUCUCCCCGGGUGUCCUGUCUGUUUCUGUCCUCACGUCACCGCUGCCCGCUUCUCCCCGGGUGUCCUGUCUGUUUCUGUCCUCACGUCACCGCUGCCCGCUUCUCCCGGGCGUCCUGUUUCUGUCUUCACGUCACCGCUGCCCGCUUCUCCCGGGCGUCCUGUUUCUGUCUUCACGUCACCGCUGCCCGCUUCUCCCGGGCGUCCUGUUUCUGUCUUCACGUCACCGCUGCCCGCUUCUCCCCGGGUGUCCUGUCUGUUUCUGUCUUCACGUCACCGCUGCCCGCUUCUCCCCGGGUGUCCUGUCUGUUUCUGUCCUCACGUCACCGCUGCCUACUUCUCCCUGGGUGUCCUGUCUGUUUCUGUCCUCACGUCACCGCUGCCCGCGUCUCCCUGGGUGUCCUGUCUGUUUCUGUCUUCACGUCACCGCUGCCCGCGUCUCCCCGGGUGUCCUGUCUGUUUCUGUCUUCACGUCACCGCUGCCCGCUUCUCCCCAGUGUCCUGUCUGUUUCUGUCUUCCCGUCACUGCGCUCAGCCACUGCCCGCUUCUCCCUGGCAUCCUGUCUGUUUCUGUCUUCACGUCACCGCUGCCCGCUUCUCCCCGGGUGUCCUGUCUGUUUCUGUCCUCACGUCACUGCUGCCCACGUCUCCCCAGUGUCCUGUCUGUUUCUGUCUUCACGUCACCGCUGCCCGCUUCUCCCCAGUGUCCUGUCUGUUUCUGUCUUCCCGUCACUGCGCUCAGCCACUGCCCGCUUCUCCCUGGCAUCCUGUCUGUUUCUGUCUUCACGUCACCGCUGCCCGCUUCUCCCCGGGUGUCCUGUCUGUUUCUGUCCUCACGUCACUGCUGCCCACGUCUCCCCAGUGUCCUGUCUGUUUCUGUCUUCACGUCACCGCUGCCCGCUUCUCCCCAGUGUCCUGUCUGUUUCUGUCCUCACGUCACCGCUGCCCGCUUCUCCCCGGGUGUCCUGUCUGUUUCUGUCUUCACGUCACCGCUGCCCGCUUCUCCCCGGGUGUCCUGUCUGUUUCUGUCCUCACGUCACCGCUGCCCGCUUCUCCCCGGGUGUCCUGUCUGUUUCUGUCUUCACGUCACCGCUGCCCGCUUCUCCCCAGUGUCCUGUCUGUUUCUGUCCUCACGUCACCGCUGCCCGUGUCUCCCCGGGUGUCCUGUCUGUUUCUGUCUUCACGUCACCGCUGCCCGCUUCUCCCCGGGUGUCCUGUCUGUUUCUGUCCUCACGUCACCGCUGCCCGCUUCUCCCCGGGUGUCCUGUCUGUUUCUGUCCUCACCUCACCUCUGCCCGCUUCUCCCCGGGUGUCCUGUCUGUUUCUGUCCUCACGUCACCGCUGCCCACUUCUCCCCAGUGUCCUGUCUGUUUCUGUCUUCACGUCACCGCUGCCCGCUUCUCCCCAGUGUCCUGUCUGUUUCUGUCCUCACGUCACCGCUGCCCGCUUCUCCCCAGUGUCCUGUCUGUUUCUGUCCUCACGUCACCGCUGCCCGCUUCUCCCCAGUGUCCUGUCUGUUUCUGUCCUCACGUCACCGCUGCCCGCUUCUCCCCAGUGUCCUGUCUGUUUCUGUCCUCACGUCACCGCUGCCCGCUUCUCCCCAGUGUCCUGUCUGUUUCUGUCCUCACGUCACCGCUGCCCGCUUCUCCCCAGUGUCCUGUCUGUUUCUGUCUUCACGUCACCGCUGCCCGCUUCUCCCCGGGUGUCCUGUCUGUUUCUGUCUUCACGUCACCGCUGCCCGCUUCUCCCCGGGUGUCCUGUCUGUUUCUGUCCUCAUGUCACCGCUGCCCGCUUCUCCCUGGGUGUCCUGUCUGUUUCUGUCCUCACGUCACCGCUGCCCGCGUCUCCCUGGGUGUCCUGUCUGUUUCUGUCCUCACGUCACCGCUGCCCGCUUCUCCCUGGGUGUCCUGUCUGUUUCUGUCCUCACGUCACCGCUGCCCGCGUCUCCCCGGGUGUCCUGUCUGUUUCUGUCUUCACGUUACUGCGCUCAGCCGCUGCCCGCUUCUCCCCGGGUGUCCUGUCUGUUUCUGUCCUCACGUCACCGCUGCCCACUUCUCCCCGGGUGUCCUGUUUCUGUCCUCACGUCACCGCUGCCCGCUUCUCCCCAGUGUCCUGUCUGUUUCUGUCCUCACGUCACCGCUGCCCGCUUCUCCCCGGGUGUCCUGUCUGUUUCUGUCUUCACGUCACCGCUGCCCGCUUCUCCCCGGGUGUCCUGUUUCUGUCCUCACGUCACCGCUGCCCGCUUCUCCCCAGUGUCCUGUCUGUUUCUGUCCUCACGUCACCGCUGCCCGCUUCUCCCCGGGUGUCCUGUCUGUUAAUGUCUUCCCGUCACCGCUGCCCGCUUCUCCCCGGGUGUCCUGUCUGUUUCUGUCUUCACGUCACCGCUGCCCGCUUCUCCCCGGGUGUCCUGUCUGUUUCUGUCCUCACGUCACCGCUGCCCGCUUCUCCCCAGUGUCCUGUCUGUUUCUGUCCUCACGUCACCGCUGCCCGCUUCUCCCCGGGUGUCCUGUCUGUUUCUGUCCUCACGUCACCGCUGCCCGUGUCUCCCCGGGUGUCCUGUCUGUUUCUGUCCUCACGUCACCGCUGCCCGCUUCUCCCCAGUGUCCUGUCUGUUUCUGUCCUCACGUCACCGCUGCCCGCUUCUCCCCAGUGUCCUGUCUGUUUCUGUCCUCACGUCACCGCUGCCCGCUUCUCCCCGGGUGUCCUGUCUGUUUCUGUCUUCACGUCACCGCUGCCCGCUUCUCCCCAGUGUCCUGUCUGUUUCUGUCCUCACGUCACCGCUGCCCGCUUCUCCCCGGGUGUCCUGUCUGUUUCUGUCCUCACGUCACCGCUGCCCGCUUCUCCCCGGGUGUCCUGUCUGUUUCUGUCCUCACGUCACCGCUGCCCGUGUCUCCCCGGGUGUCCUGUCUGUUUCUGUCCUCACGUCACCGCUGCCCGCUUCUCCCCAGUGUCCUGUCUGUUUCUGUCCUCACGUCACCGCUGCCCGCUUCUCCCCAGUGUCCUGUCUGUUUCUGUCCUCACGUCACCGCUGCCCGCUUCUCCCCGGGUGUCCUGUCUGUUUCUGUCUUCACGUCACCGCUGCCCGCUUCUCCCCAGUGUCCUGUCUGUUUCUGUCCUCACGUCACCGCUGCCCGCUUCUCCCCGGGUGUCCUGUCUGUUUCUGUCCUCACGUCACCGCUGCCCGCUUCUCCCCGGGUGUCCUGUCUGUUUCUGUCCUCACGUCACCGCUGCCCGCUCUCCCCGGGUGUCCUGUCUGUUUCUGUCCUCACGUCACCGCUGCCCGCUUCUCCCCGGGUGUCCUGUCUGUUUCUGUCCUCACGUCACCGCUGCCCGCUUCUCCCCGGGUGUCCUGUCUGUUUCUGUCCUCACGUCACCGCUGCCCGCUUCUCCCCGGGUGUCCUGUCUGUUUCUGUCUUCACGUCACCGCUGCCCGCUUCUCCCCGGGUGUCCUGUCUGUUUCUGUCCUCACGUCACCGCUGCCCGCUUCUCCCCGGGUGUCCUGUCUGUUUCUGUCCUCACGUCACCGCUGCCCGCUUCUCCCCGGGUGUCCUGUCUGUUUCUGUCCUCACGUCACCGCUGCCCGCUUCUCCCCGGGUGUCCUGUCUGUUUCUGUCCUCACGUCACCGCUGCCCGCUUCUCCCCGGGUGUCCUGUCUGUUUCUGUCCUCACGUCACCGCUGCCCGCGUCUCCCUGGGUGUCCUGUCUGUUUCUGUCUUCACGUCACCGCUGCCCGCUUCUCCCGGGCGUCCUGUUUCUGUCUUCACGUCACCGCUGCCCGCUUCUCCCGGGCGUCCUGUUUCUGUCUUCACGUCACCGCUGCCCGCUUCUCCCCGGGUGUCCUGUCUGUUUCUGUCUUCACGUCACCGCUGCCCGCUUCUCCCCGGGUGUCCUGUCUGUUUCUGUCCUCACGUCACCGCUGCCUACUUCUCCCUGGGUGUCCUGUCUGUUUCUGUCCUCACGUCACCGCUGCCCGCGUCUCCCUGGGUGUCCUGUCUGUUUCUGUCUUCACGUCACCGCUGCCCGCUUCUCCCCAGUGUCCUGUCUGUUUCUGUCUUCCCGUCACUGCGCUCAGCCACUGCCCGCUUCUCCCUGGCAUCCUGUCUGUUUCUGUCUUCACGUCACCGCUGCCUGCUUCUCCCCGGGUGUCCUGUCUGUUUCUGUCCUCACGUCACUGCUGCCCACGUCUCCCCAGUGUCCUGUCUGUUUCUGUCUUCACGUCACCGCUGCCCGCUUCUCCCCAGUGUCCUGUCUGUUUCUGUCCUCACGUCACCGCUGCCCGCUUCUCCCCGGGUGUCCUGUCUGUUUCUGUCUUCACGUCACCGCUGCCCGCUUCUCCCCGGGUGUCCUGUCUGUUUCUGUCCUCACGUCACCGCUGCCCGCUUCUCCCCGGGUGUCCUGUCUGUUUCUGUCCUCACGUCACCGCUGCCCGCUUCUCCCCAGUGUCCUGUCUGUUUCUGUCUUCACGUCACCGCUGCCCGCUUCUCCCCAGUGUCCUGUCUGUUUCUGUCCUCACGUCACCGCUGCCCGCUUCUCCCCGGGUGUCCUGUCUGUUUCUGUCUUCACGUCACCGCUGCCCGCUUCUCCCCGGGUGUCCUGUCUGUUUCUGUCUUCACGUCACCGCUGCCCGCUUCUCCCCGGGUGUCCUGUCUGUUUCUGUCCUCACGUCACCGCUGCCCGCUUCUCCCCGGGUGUCCUGUCUGUUUCUGUCCUCACGUCACCGCUGCCCGCUUCUCCCCAGUGUCCUGUCUGUUUCUGUCUUCACGUCACCGCUGCCCGCUUCUCCCCGGGUGUCCUGUCUGUUUCUGUCCUCACGUCACCGCUGCCCGCUUCUCCCCAGUGUCCUGUCUGUUUCUGUCUUCACGUCACCGCUGCCCGCUUCUCCCCAGUGUCCUGUCUGUUUCUGUCCUCACGUCACCGCUGCCCGCUUCUCCCCAGUGUCCUGUCUGUUUCUGUCUUCACGUCACCGCUGCCCGCUUCUCCCCAGUGUCCUGUCUGUUUCUGUCCUCACGUCACCGCUGCCCGCUUCUCCCCGGGUGUCCUGUCUGUUUCUGUCUUCACGUCACCGCUGCCCGCUUCUCCCCGGGUGUCCUGUCUGUUUCUGUCCUCACGUCACCGCUGCCCGCUUCUCCCUGGGUGUCCUGUCUGUUUCUGUCCUCACGUCACCGCUGCCCGCGUCUCCCUGGGUGUCCUGUCUGUUUCUGUCCUCACGUCACCGCUGCCCGCGUCUCCCUGGGUGUCCUGUCUGUUUCUGUCUUCACGUCACCGCUGCCCGCUUCUCCCCGGGUGUCCUGUCUGUUUCUGUCCUCACGUCACCGCUGCCCGCUUCUCCCCAGUGUCCUGUCUGUUUCUGUCCUCACGUCACCGCUGCCCACUUCUCCCCAGUGUCCUGUCUGUUUCUGUCCUCACGUCACCGCUGCCCGCUUCUCCCCAGUGUCCUGUCUGUUUCUGUCUUCACGUCACCGCUGCCCGCUUCUCCCCGGGUGUCCUGUCUGUUUCUGUCUUCACGUCACCGCUGCCCGCUUCUCCCCGGGUGUCCUGUCUGUUUCUGUCCUCACGUCACCGCUGCCCGCUUCUCCCCGGGUGUCCUGUCUGUUUCUGUCUUCACGUCACCGCUGCCCGCUUCUCCCCGGGUGUCCUGUCUGUUUCUGUCUUCACGUCACCGCUGCCCGCUUCUCCCCGGGUGUCCUGUUUCUGUCCUCACGUCACCGCUGCCCGCUUCUCCCGGGCGUCCUGUUUCUGUCUUCACGUCACCGCUGCCCGCUUCUCCCGGGCGUCCUGUUUCUGUCUUCACGUCACCGCUGCCUACUUCUCCCCGGGUGUCCUGUCUGUUUCUGUCCUCACGUCACCGCUGCCCGCUUCUCCCCGGGUGUCCUGUCUGUUUCUGUCCUCACGUCACCGCUGCCCGCUUCUCCCGGGCGUCCUGUUUCUGUCUUCACGUCACCGCUGCCCGCUUCUCCCGGGCGUCCUGUUUCUGUCUUCACGUCACCGCUGCCCGCUUCUCCCGGGCGUCCUGUUUCUGUCUUCACGUCACCGCUGCCUACUUCUCCCCGGGUGUCCUGUCUGUUUCUGUCCUCACGUCACCGCUGCCCGCUUCUCCCCGGGUGUCCUGUCUGUUUCUGUCCUCACGUCACCGCUGCCCGCUUCUCCCCGGGUGUCCUGUCUGUUUCUGUCCUCACGUCACCGCUGCCCGCUUCUCCCGGGCGUCCUGUUUCUGUCUUCACGUCACCGCUGCCCGCUUCUCCCCGGGUGUCCUGUCUGUUUCUGUCUUCACGUCACCGCUGCCCGCUUCUCCCCGGGUGUCCUGUCUGUUUCUGUCCUCACGUCACCGCUGCCUACUUCUCCCUGGGUGUCCUGUCUGUUUCUGUCCUCACGUCACCGCUGCCUACUUCUCCCCAGUGUCCUGUCUGUUUCUGUCCUCACGUCACCGCUGCCCGCGUCUCCCUGGGUGUCCUGUCUGUUUCUGUCUUCACGUCACCGCUGCCCGCGUCUCCCUGGGUGUCCUGUCUGUUUCUGUCUUCACGUCACCGCUGCCCGCGUCUCCCCGGGUGUCCUGUCUGUUUCUUUCUUCACGUCACCGCUGCCUGCUUCUCCCAGGCGUCCUGUCUGUUUCUGUCUUCACGUCACCGCUGCCCGCUUCUCCCCAGUGUCCUGUCUGUUUCUGUCUUCCCGUCACUGCGCUCAGCCACUGCCCGCUUCUCCCUGGCAUCCUGUCUGUUUCUGUCUUCACGUCACCGCUGCCUGCUUCUCCCUGGGUGUCCUGUCUGUUUCUGUCCUCACGUCACUGCUGCCCGCUUCUCCCCGGGUGUCCUGUCUGUUUCUGUCCUCACGUCACUGCUGCCCACGUCUCCCCAGUGUCCUGUCUGUUUCUGUCUUCACGUCACCGCUGCCCGCUUCUCCCCGGGUGUCCUGUCUGUUUCUGUCUUCACGUCACCGCUGCCUACUUCUCCCAGGCGUCCUGUCUGUUUCUGUCCUCACGUCACUGCUGCCCACGUCUCCCCAGUGUCCUGUCUGUUUCUGUCUUCACGUCACCGCUGCCCGCUUCUCCCCGGGUGUCCUGUCUGUUUCUGUCUUCACGUCACCGCUGCCUGCUUCUCCCAGGCGUCCUGUCUGUUUCUGUCUUCCCGUCACUGCGCUCAGCCGCUGCCCGCUUCUCCCUGGCAUCCUGUCUGUUUCUGUCCUCACGUCACUGCUGCCCACGUCUCCCCUGUGUCCUGUCUGUUUCUGUCUUCACGUCACCGCUGCCCGCUUCUCCCUGGCAUCCUGUCUGUUUCUGUCUUCACGUCACCGCUGCCUGCUUCUCCCUGGCAUCCUGUCUGUUUCUACAGGGAUGCUCCCCUGCAGGUCUUUUCACCUGUGUGGUUUGUGUUUCGCAGAGGCUGCUGUUUGUCCCAGGCAUGCCCAGGGUCUGCGGCGGUGGCACCGCACCUGCUGUCCUUGGUCCUCAGCAUGGCCUGGCACUGGUAGGUGCAGCUAG
ensembl:lncRNA